AGCUAGUGAGCAAAAAUGAAUACUAAUUCUAGCUGCUCCUGAGUCCAGAGAGCGGCACACUCCAUCUCAGUGAAGUAGCUCUUUCUGAGAUUCCUCAUCCGUGGGGCUUUUCAGUUAAUCAAGAGAGUAUGUCCAGGCUAGUCUACUUAGGCAAGGUCGAGGCAAGAGGAAGCUAAAUGGCUCUGCCUGAAAAGAGAAGACAGGAAUUUUUAAAGUGGAGGUCAUUGGAAGAGCCUUCCAGUCACACUGAAGGUUGUAAAGCAGAGAAACAUGUUAAGAUGAAGUGGACCAUGGCAGCUGGGAGACCAAACCACACCUAACAGAUAAGAGGCUGCAGGGGACAAUGCAGAAGGUGCACAGGCAAAACAAGAAUGAUAAUAGGCAUGUCUCAAGGUUGCUGUGUGGACCAGCUAAAGCCCUAUGUAAGAAAGCACUUCACAUACAGAAGAGGGGCCUACAAAUUUGAGAACUAGUCCAGCAUAUUCUGGUUGGGUUCACCUUCUCUCUGAUCAUCCACCAUUGGCCACCUUUGGGUGACAUCUCACGAGCUCUGAAGAAAUACUAACGAAAAAUGAAAAUUACCAUUCAAGAGAAUUACCAUUUCAAGAGUUGGUAUGUUUUAGGAACAAAACAUACUUAAUCAUGCAUCUGCGAUGGAUUUCCUAAUUUGGCCUCCCGAGUAGGACACCUUGAGAGGCAAAUAGUUCCACAAUUAUAUGGGAAGGAGAUGGGAAGGUGCCAGCCAAGAGAGUCUCUCAUGUGUAUGAAGUAAAGGAAUGAAGCAAG
rnacentral:lncRNA from 1 species